UACGUAUGGUGCGAGCGUUGCCCGGAUUUAUUGGGCGUAAAGGGCGCGUAGGCGGCCACGCACGUCCGUUGUGAAAUCGCCCGGCUCAACUGGGCGGGGUCAGCGGAUACGGUGUGGCUCGAGCAAGCUAGGGGGCAAUGGAACUCCCGGUGUAGUGGUGGAAUGCGUAGAUAUCGGGAAGAACACCAGUGGCGAAGGCGGUUGCCUGGAGCUUUGCUGACGCUGAUGCGCGAAAGCGUGGGGAGCGAUCCGG
rnacentral:rRNA from 1 species